AUGGCUACAGCAAGAGCUCUAGCCACCAUGGCAAUCUUCCUGCUGGUGGCGCUCUCCACCUCCGUCGCGUCCUCACUCCGCCCGAGUCUCGGUGUCUGCCGUGCAAGUGGCUAUCUUCCAGGAAAGUCGGGCAACUGCGAGAAGAGCAACGACCCGGACUGUUGUGAGGACGGCAAGAGAUACCCGCAGUACCACUGCUCGCCCCCGGUCACUGCAACCACCAAGGCCGUCUUGACGCUCAACAGCUUCGAGAAGGGCAAGGACGGUGGCGGCCCAUCAGAGUGUGACAACGCCUACCAUAGCGACGAGGAGAUGGUCGUCGCGCUCUCCACCGGCUGGUUCAAGAACAUGGCCCGUUGCGGGCACCGUAUCAAGAUCACUGCCAAUGGCAACUCCGUGUAUGCCAAGGUGGUGGACGAAUGCGAUUCCGUGUAUGGCUGCGACGAGGACCACAACUAUGAGCCACCCUGUGCCAACAACAUCGUCGACGCGUCCCCGGCGGUGUGGAACGCAUUGGGGCUCGACCAGAACGUCGGCAUGGAGGGCAUCACCUGGUCUGACCAGUGA
rnacentral:rRNA from 1 species